UCCAGCACAUGGCACGUCGUGCGCCUACAGAGCUAUGCAGGCCUGGAUCUUCCUCACUCGGCCAGCUUGCUGUUCAAGUGCUCCAAGUACGUGCUGGGUUCACGCAUACCCAGGCUGCGCCACGCAGCUGUGUAGUCCAGACACUCCUCUCCACGCCCCCAUGAAGAGGGCACAGGGCAGAGCCACAUGGGGGUCCCACAGGCUAGACACCAAGCCUCGUUCUAGUCCAAAGAGACCCCUGCUGGAAUGAGAAGAAGGCCAGCACUGCCACGGGAGACAGAAAACCGCAGCCCCAGGGCGCCUCCAAGCGGCGGCAACCCCACGAGCCAGGCACAGGAAUGCAGAAAACGCAAAGGACCGAGCCGAGAGGGCAUGAGCCCUCUAAGACCAGCCGAUGACCAAGGCCAGGAGCGUGGUCCGGGCUCUGGGAGAAGCAGCCACCACCACUGACACAAGCACACCUGGCUGGGCCUGGCUGG
rnacentral:lncRNA from 1 species